UUCAUAAUGCUGGAGACUGAAGUUCUGUAUUUAUUCACAGAGCAGAUACAGCAUGGAAAGCGGCUGUGCAAUGUCCCUGUUUGUCUAAACCCUGACUUGGAGGGACCACCACUAAGAAUCAGAGGUUAGUGCCCCGUCCUUUUGACCUGAUCUCUCUGCUAAG
ensembl:misc_RNA